CUGCGACACAACCAAGUAUAGGAGGUCCAGCCUGCCCAGUGACUACAAGUUCAACGGCCGCGGUAUUUUGACCGUGCAAAGGUAGCGCAAUCACUUGUCUUUUAAAUAGAGACCUGUAUGAAUGGCUAAACGAGGGCUUAACUGUCUCCCCUUUCCAGUCAGUGAAAUUGAUCUACCCGUGCAGAAGCGGGUAUAAUAAUACAAGACGAGAAGACCCUUUGGAGCUUAAGGUACAAAACUCAACCACGUUAAGCAACUCAAUAAAAAGUGAAAACUUUGUGGAACAUGAGAUUUUACCUUCGGUUGGGGCGACCACGGAGGAAAAAAGAGCCUCCAGGUGGAACGGGAGAAUUUCCUAAAACUAAGAGAGACAUCUCUAAGCCACAGAACAUCUGACCAAAUAUGAUCCGGCUAAUACAAGCCGAUCAACGAACCAAGUUACCCUAGGGAUAACAGCGCAAUCCUCUCCCAGAGUCCAUAUCGACGAGGGGGUUUACGACCUCGAUGUUGGAUCAGGACAUCCUAAUGGUGCAGCCGCUAUUAAGGGUUCGUUUGUUCAACGAUU
rnacentral:rRNA from 1 species